CCUACGGGAGGCAGCAGUGGGGGAUAUUGCACAAUGGGGGAAACCCUGAUGCAGCGACGCCGCGUGUGGGAAGACGGUCCUCUGGAUUGUAAACCACUGUCCCCAGGGACGAAGAUGACGGUACCUGGGGCGGAAGCUCCGGCUAACUACGUGCCAGCAGCCGCGGUAAUACGUAGGCAGCGAGCGGUGUCCGGAAUUACUGGGUGAAAGGGGAGCGUAGUUGGGACUGAAAGUUGGGUGUCAAAUCUACCGGCUCAACCGGUAGCCGCACUCAAAACUGCAGUUCUUGAGUGAAGUAGAGGCAGGCAGAAUUCCUAGUGUAGCGGUGAAAUGCGUAGAGAUUAGGAGGAACACCAGUGGCGAAGGCGGCCUGCUGGGCUUUUACUGACGCUGAGGCUCGAAAGUGUGGGGAGCAAACAGGAUUAGAUACCCCUGUAGUC
rnacentral:rRNA from 1 species